GAGCAGGACGAACCAGAGGAAACUCUGGUGGAAGUCCGCAGCGAUUCUGACGUGCAAAUCGAUCGUCAAACUUGGGNAUAGGGGCGARAGACUAAUCGAACCAUCUA
rnacentral:rRNA from 1 species